rnacentral:lncRNA from 1 species
UCUGUUACUACAUAUUCCCUCUACCCUCACCUGGGAGAGCACUAGCCUCCCUCACUUCCCCUUUUCUCAAAAUGUUCCUGCCCCAUUUCCUAAAAGCCUUUUUUUUGACCCACUUUGUCCUCAGUUUUCUCCCUUGGGCAGGGCAAGAGGAAACGUGCUGUGACCAAUUCUGAGCUGCCAGGUUCCUUGGACGUACUGGGAUACUAUUCCAUGGAUCAUACUGACUGAGGGAACAGCUGCUAAACCAGUAAAUGCAGAAAUAACCAAGAAGCUGCACUUCAGAGUAGGGCUUGGACUUGGGAAGACUGGUGAAAAAAAGAAAGUUUCAUAUCACUGCUACUGAUCUGCAAUCAGUAUACCUUUGUCUCACCAGUCCAGGGAGAUGGGGAGCAAAAAGAGGAACAACGAAGUCAGCUUUUGCAGAUGUGCAGUGGCCCUCUGUCGACCUCCCAGGAGUGCUGUGGGCUGGCAAAAUCCAGCAGGUCAGGACAACAGGAGUGGGAUCCAGCUGAAGGUGCACUUGCUGAGUCGUCAGCUUGCCAGGACUCGGCUGGAUUUGAACCCAGAAACACAAAGUCUGAGCAAUGGAAAUGAACUGUCAGCAGCUUUUGAAUCCAAAGUGCUGAAUGUUGCUGCUGACAAUCUGUGAAUGGGUGGAACUACAAGC